rnacentral:rRNA from 1 species
CGCAAGGGACAAAAUGCACAGCAGUGCAUGGCUGUCGUCAGCUCAGUGUCGAGAGAUGUAUGAUAAGUCCCGCAAAGAGCGCAACACUCGCCUUUAGUUGUCCAUCAUUUAGUUGGGCACUUUAUUAGGAACUCCGGUGACAAGCCGGAGGAAGGUGGGGAUGACGUCAAGUCCUCAUGGCCGGUAUGUCCUGGGCUACACACGUGUCACAAUGGGGUGACGGUGAGAAGGUAGGCGGCGACGCCGUGUUGAUCUUUAAAAGCCAUCUCAGUUAGGAUUGUCUGUGCAACUCGAGUACAUGAAGGAGGAAUAGGUAGUAAUCGUGGAUCAGCAAGCCACGGUGAAUGACGUCCCGGGCGUUGUACACACCCCCAAUCGAAUUCCCGC